GGAUUGGUGGUUGAAAGGCUACCGCUUCUGCUUCAUAAGCAGAAGGUCAUGGGUUCAAUCCCAGGCCCAUCCC
rnacentral:tRNA from 1 species